AUUGGCUAUCCGGGAGCUGUUUGAUGACGUAUCGCUUUGUAAAGCCAAUGAAAUAAAAGAUAACACUCCAAACUACAUGGUGAUAUAUUUUCGCAUGGCGUAUGACCUUUAGAAGUUGGUGAAAAUGUAAACAGAAUAAAGUCAUCGGAGAAUUUUACGAUAAAUAAGACCUUUUCAGGGACUUAUGUCAUGAAGUUAUGACUUAUCGUCUUAUGUCAAUACUCAAUAGACUGUAUUGUUUGAGUCAAAGAUUAGGUGUCUUAAAAUGGCUGGGAUUUUAUUAGAAUCGCAUAACCUUGAUACCGGGAAACAGGCCUUGACCAACAAAGAUGUUAUCACAGCUUUUGAACAAUUUUGUUGCGGGAAAAUUACUUUUAAAUCUUCUUUGUGCGAGUUCAAAGAGAGGUAUGGUACUCAGGUUUGUGAUCAAACUGAGGCCAGUCUGGGAAUGAAGAUUAGUAAAUUGUACAAAAGGGAAAGAAAACUUGUGCGUGAUAAGAAAAAUGCAGAGUUGGAAAAUUUUAGAGCUGAAGUAUUUGUCUUUCCCAAGAGCAAUAACUUAACUGUUGAUGAUGGUGCUGGAAGUGUUAAUUCUGAUAAGGUCCAGUUAUUAGCCAGUAAAACAAAACAUGUUGUAACUGAAAACAGAAAU